rnacentral:rRNA from 1 species
GACGGGGGGGGCAAGUGUUCUUCGGAAUCACUGGGCGUAAAGCGCACGUAGGCGGCUUUCUAAGUCAGGGGUGAAAUCCUGGAGCUCAACUCCAGAACUGCCUUUGAUACUGGAGAGCUAGAGUCCGGAAGAGGUGAGUGGAACUGCGAGUGUAGAGGUGAAAUUCGUAGAUAUCAGGAAGAACACCCGUGGCGAAGGCGGCUCUCUGGGACGGUACUGACGCUGAGACGCGAAAGCGUGGGGAGCGAACAGG